rnacentral:rRNA from 1 species
GAUGAACGCUGGCGGCGUGCCUAAUACAUGCAAGUCGAGCGAACAGACGAGGAGCUUGCUCCUCUGACGUUAGCGGCGGACGGGUGAGUAACACGUGGAUAACCUACCUAUAAGACUGGGAUAACUUCGGGAAACCGGAGCUAAUACCGGAUAAUAUAUUGAACCGCAUGGUUCAAUAGUGAAAGACGGUUUUGCUGUCACUUAUAGAUGGAUCCACGCCGCAUUAGCUAGUUGGUAAGGUAACGGCUUACCAAGGCAACGAUGCGUAGCCGACCUGAGAGGGUGAUCGGCCACACUGGAACUGAGACACGGUCCAGACUCCUACGGGAGGCAGCAGUAGGGAAUAUUCCGCAAUGGGCGAAAGCCUGACGGAGCAACGCCGCGUGAGUGAUGAAGGUCUUCGGAUCGUAAAACUCUGUUAGUAGGGAAGAACAAAUGUGUAAGUAAAUAUGCACGUCUUGACGGUACCUAAUCAGAAAGCCACGGCCAACUACGUG